UAAUUGAAGAGUUUGAUCAUGGCUCAGAUUGAACGCUGGCGGCAGGCCUAACACAUGCAAGUCGAGCGGUAACAUUUCAAAAGCUUGCUUUUGAAGAUGACGAGCGGCGGACGGGUGAGUAAUGCCUAGGAAAUUGCCCUGAUGUGGGGGAUAACCAUUGGAAACGAUGGCUAAUACCGCAUGAUGCCUACGGGCCAAAGAGGGGGACCUUCGGGCCUCUCGCGUCAGGAUAUGCCUAGGUGGGAUU
rnacentral:rRNA from 1 species